AUUGAACGCUGGCGGCAUGCUUUACACAUGCAAGUCGGACGGCAGCACAGAGAAGCUUGCUUCUUGGGUGGCGAGUGGCGAACGGGUGAGUAACAUAUCGGAACGUACCGAGCAGUGGGGGAUAACUAAUCGAAAGAUUAGCUAAUACCGCAUAUUUUCUGAGGAAGAAAGCAGGGGACCUUUGGGCCUUGCGCUGUUUGAGCGGCCGAUAUCUGAUUAGCUAGUUGGUGGGGUAAAGGCCUACCAAGGCGACGAUCAGUAGCGGGUCUGAGAGGAUGGUCCGCCACACUGGGACUGAGACACGGCCCAGACUCCUACGGGAGGCAGCAGUGGGGAAUUUUGGACAAUGGGCGCAAGCCUGAUCCAGCCAUGCCGCGUGUCUGAAGAAGGCCUUCGGGUUGUAAAGGACUUUUGUCAGGGAAGAAAAGGGCGGGGUUAAUACCCCUGUCUGAUGACGGUACCUGAAGAAUAAGCACCGGCUAACUACGUG
rnacentral:rRNA from 1 species